rnacentral:rRNA from 1 species
UACGUAGGGGGCGAGCGUUGUCCGGAUUUAUUGGGCGUAAAGAGCGUGUAGGCGGCUUUACAGGUCCGUUGUGAAAACUCGAGGCUCAACCUCGAGACGCCGGUGGAAACCGUAAAGCUAGAGUCCGGAAGAGGAGAGUGGAAUUCCUGGUGUAGCGGUGAAAUGCGCAGAUAUCAGGAAGAACACCCGUGGCGAAGGCGGUUCUCUGGGACGGUACUGACGCUGAGACGCGAAAGCGUGGGGAGCGAACGGG